UAAGCUUGAUACUAUGCCACUUGAACUAGCUGAUAUACCCAGCCUUGUAGAGAUGAGGCUGGAUAACACAAGCAAAGCGGUAAAAUCCGCAAAAAAAUUUCGGGAUAGCAAGACAUCUAAAAGCAUGAAACUCAAGCUAAGCAUAUACCCACCUGAAAAUUAAUCCAAGGUUGCACAGUGAUAUUUAAAGGAGAUGACUUGGACAUCGAGCUUGCUGGAAGCCAGGGGUCAUCAGACAAAUAGCUAACAGGAGUAUCGUCAUUUUGAAAUAAGGCUAGGUCUGCUGCAACUCGAGUUCCCCUUUAUGUAGAUUGUUUUUUUUUCUCCGUUAUGAAACUGUUUGCAUCUUUCCUAUUCUAUUAUCUUUGUAGUUGCGUAAAACUGUUGUUUGCAUCUUCCCUAUUCUGUUAUCUUUGUAUUUGCUUUGGUAUGUUCGUGUAAAACUGUUGUUUUAAUCCAUCAUUGUUUUUGUUGAAAGACAUGUUACUCUCAACAAAGGCCUUAUUAACUUGGUAU